rnacentral:misc_RNA from 1 species
ACACACACACACACACACAUCAAGCUUUCAAAUUCCCAACUCACAAACAAAUACUCCUACGUAGACCAAUAUACUAAACCAGCACCAUGGAAACCCCUUACCACCUCCACAGCCAGCCACAACCAUCACCAAGACACCCAUAAAGCCUUCGCUGGUCGAUCUAACCCAGCCAAAGCAAACAGAUAUCGAACCUUCCCAUUUUAGCAAAUCUCUGCCUUGAGAAUCCAUGGAAACCAACUUUCCAUUACCGUGAAACUUCAGUAACAGAGCCGCCCUUGGAAUCCACAAAAAGUAGUUUGACAGAUUUGAUCCCAGCCGACCAAAUCCCUGGCCUCUUUCACCAAUAUCUCUCUGAAAUGGGAUUAGAGGCAAUUGAUACUACUUUUUUUUUUUCCCAAAGAUUUCCCUAUUUGCUCCAUUACUUCCAAUUAGCAGCCAUUAGACUUCUUCAACAAUAUCAACCGGAGCCACACAACGCUCUGACCAAAAAUACAGCUCACCCAAAUACUUCUUUUUGUUCUCCUAAUGUAGAGCAGAAGCACACUCUUAUUGAGGAAGAUAAGUCAAAUGGAUCAACCUCUUCAACAGUCAAUCAAGA